CCCGACUGCUAUUUGGGUGAGAAUAAGCCAUGCGAGUUGAAUGGGAUACCUAAAUUUCCCAUAGCAAACUGCUCAGUAACACAUGAUCAACUUACCCUAUGGAGAAAAAUAACCUCGGGAAACUGAGGAUAAUGUUUCAUAGUUGAAUAGGCUUGGAAAAGUUUUUCAAUGAAAUGAAUAAGAUGAAUGGUUCUUAUUUGCCAUAGGAUAGGAUCGUGCUCGAUUAUGGUUGUUGGUGAGGUAACGGCUCACCAAGCCGAUAAUCGAUAGGGGCCGUGAGAGCGGGAGCCCCGAGAUGGGUACUGAGACAACGACCCAGACCUUACGAGGUGCAGCAGGCGCGAGACCUCCGCAAUACACGAAAGUGUGACGGGGUUACCCAAAGUGUCCAUUAAUGGACUGUGGUAGGUGAGUAAUGUCCCCUACUAGAAAGGAGAGGGCAAGGCUGGUGCCAGCCGCCGCGGUAAAACCAGCUCUUCAAGUGGUCGGGAUGAUUAUUGGGCUUAAAGUGUCCGUAGCCGGUUUAGUAAGUUCCUGGUAAAAUCGAGUAGCUUAACUAUUUGUAUGCUAGGAAUACUGUUAUACUAGAGGGUGGGAGAGGUCUGAGGUACUACAGGGGUAGGGGUGAAAUCCAUUGAUCCUUGUAGGACCACCAGUGGCGAAGGCGUCAGACUGGAACAUGCCUGACGGUGAGGGACGAAAGCCAGGGGAGCGAACCGGAUUAGAUACCCGGGUAGUCCUGGCCGUAAACGAUGCAUACUAGGUGAUGGUACGGCCAUGAGCCGUAUCAGUGCCGUAGGGAAACCGUUAAGUGUGCCGCCUGGGAAGUACGGUCGCAAGGCUAAAACUUAAAGGAAUUGGCGGGGGAGCACCACAAGGGGUGAAGCCUGCGGUUU
rnacentral:rRNA from 1 species